GGCCCGGGAAACUUGCUUUCCGGUUACCUCCGCCGCCGCCUGGAUUAGUCACUUGCGGAAGCGGCGGAGCUCAGCGGCGAUUCUCGUGCGCGAGGAGGGCUGAGCGGAACCGGCGAAAGAUGGAGUUCCUUAUGCAGAUUAAGAGGGCCACCGUGCUGGAACCUGGAAGAGGUGAACGACAGCGAUAUUCAGUUGGAGCCGCUGCACUACUCGGUGGCGCGGCCGAUUGAGGAGCCGCUGGCGCCUAUGGUGGAGGUGAAUGCGGACGGCCAGAUCUGUGCGGCGGAAGGGGCGACGGAUGUAGUCCGAGAAGGGUCGCCGAGAGCGUUGGAGCACUCCAUUGGACAGAUCGACCCUAGAGCUCCUGGGUGGAAAAGAAGAGUGAGGGUAGGUGCUGCUCCGCCGGGAAAGACGCCAUGUCCUAAUCGGACUACUGCUCUGGAGAAGACUAUCUGUGGUUUUGCCAACAAUGCUGGGCAGUGGCGGAGCUACACAAAAAUAGUUGGGCGGGUGAGGCAAACAAGUGCACGUUUUUUUUCAAAAUUACGAUGAAUCGUGCUACUUCAUUAGACAUGAGUCAGUUCUCAAUAAUUUUUUAACUAGAUCAGCAAAUAUAUACGCACGGCAAGACCGUCGUCGCUUGGGUGUGCGAAUGUGCGGUGGAUGAUGUUGGCCAGCUAGUGGCCGCUGAUGCUUGCUGUGCCGCCGCUGCUCGGCUGCUCCUUGUGGCCAAUAAUUACUGCUCCAUUCCUGGCGUCGUGCGAAUCUCUCACUAAAUGGAGCGUAAUGGGGAUUAGGGGCCUAGGUGGUGUCUGCCAGUAGACCAGGCUUAUGAGCUACCGAUGCGUAUGAAAGAAAAAACAUACAGAUCCUGGGCAGGCCGCGGCCACUUUGGCCUUGCCGUAGCUCCGCCACUGAUCCUGGGGAUAAUGUCAUAGUGGCAACUUUGGGUGCAAGCUUUGAUUCUCUUGGUGAAGCCUACGAUUCCUACGACUUGUAUUCGUGGGGAGAAAGGAUCUGACAUAAGAUACGGCAAGAGUAGGCUAAAUGUGGAGAGGACAAAAUGCAUGCAGGAGAUUGUUUGUGGUUGUGCGGUAUGGUAGUAUGGAUUUAUAAAUUGUUAGUAUUUGAAAAUAUUUCAUCCAGCAGUUGUCUCUGAAAAAGUGUUCUCUCUUUGUGGCUGUUU